CCUACGGGAGGCAGCAGUAGGGAAUCUUCCACAAUGGGCGAAAGCCUGAUGGAGCAACGCCGCGUGGGUGAAGAAGGUCUUCGGAUCGUAAAACCCUGUUGUCAGAGAAGAAAGUGCGUGAGAGUAAUUGUUCAUGUUUCGACGGUACCUAACCAGAAAGCCACGGCUAACUACGUGCCAGCAGCCGCGGUAAUACGUAGGGGGCAAGCGUUAUCCGGAUUUAUUGGGCGUAAAGGGAACGCAGGCGGUCUUUUAAGUCUGAUGUGAAAGCCUACGGCUUAACCGGAGUAGUGCAUUGGAAACUGGGAAACUUGAGUGCGGAAGAGGAGAGUGGAACUCCAUGUGUAGCGGUGAAAUGCGUAGAUAUAUGGAAGAACACCAGUGGCGAAAGCGGCUCUCUGGUCUGUAACUGACGCUGAGGUUCGAAAGCGUGGGUAGCAAACAGGAUUAGAUACCCUAGUAGUC
rnacentral:rRNA from 1 species